rnacentral:rRNA from 1 species
GUGCCAGCAGCCGCGGUAAUACGAAGGGUGCAAGCGUUAAUCGGAAUUACUGGGCGUAAAGCGCGCGUAGGUGGUUCGUUAAGUUGGAUGUGAAAGCCCCGGGCUCAACCUGGGAACUGCAUCCAAAACUGGCGAGCUAGAGUACGGUAGAGGGUUGGUGGAAUUUCCUGUGUAGCGGUGAAAUGCGUAGAUAUAGGAAGGAACACCAGUGGCGAAGCGACCACCUGGACUGAUACUGACACUGAGUGCGAAAGCGUGGGGAGCAAACAGGGUUAGAUACCCUGGUAGUCC